rnacentral:misc_RNA from 1 species
CGAAUUUCUCCUUCAGAACACGCUCUAUUCCCAUCGUCAUGGUAGUUGUCGAGCUAGGACAGCUCCCACAAGCGCCUUGGAGCUGGAGAGAGACAACUCCAUCCUCCACGGAGACCACGUCAACGUUCCCGCCAUCGGCGAUGAGGUAGGGGCGGACGUCCUCCAAGACCAAGUUAACGUUGUCCACGGUGAGCUCGUACACCUUAGCCGAGUAUAAACCAGUGGACGGGGAGGCG